CUUAUAUAUAUCCAGAGAGCUGACAUUUCUAGUGUUCUUCCUUCCUUUGAUGAUUUGCAUUUCCAUCUGCAUCACACUCCUUCCAUUUGGAGGAUGCGUUUCUUGUGGUAUAGUUUUUCUAGUGAUGGAUUCUUUCUGCUUUGGUACCUCUCAGAAAGUCUUUAUCCCACCUUAGUUUAUCAAACAUGUUUUUGUUGGAUAUAAAAUUCCAACUCUGUCUUUUUUCUUUCAGUAAUUUGGAGAUGUUGUUCCAAUGUCUUGGGGGGCGAAGCUUCCAUAGUAUCCAGUGGAAAAUCUGCUGUUAUCCUUAUCUUUAUUCCUUUGAACACAAGGAAUAUAUUUUUCACCCUUCUGGCUGCUUUUAUGAUUUUCUCUUAACAGUUUUAAGUAAUCGUAUUGUCACAAAAUAAUACAUCCAAGUUCUAGCCUCUGGUACCUGUGAACGUGGCCUUAUUUGGAAAUUGGGUCUUUGCAGGGGCAAUCACAUCAAGCUGUUACACUGGGUUAGGGUAAGUCCUGAUCCAUGACUAGCGCCUUUAGGAAAUGAGAGAAAUUUGGACACAUACACCCAUGUACACGCAUGAGAACGUCAUGUGAAGACAGAGACACACAGAAAUAAGACCACAUGAAGGUGGGAGAGAGAGAGGAGUGUGUAGCUUCAUACCAGGGAACACCAAGGGUUGUUGGCGACCACCAGAAUCUGUGAAGAGGCAUGGAAGGAUUUUUUCCUUGGUGACUUUAGAGAGAACACAGCCCUGGCAACAUCCUGGUUUUGGACUUGUGGCCUCCUAAAUUCCAAGAUAAUAAAUUUCUGUUAUUGUGAGCUCCCAGUUCAUGGUAGUUUGUUACAGCAGCCCUCAGAAACUAAUACAGCUCUGAUGUGCCUUGAUGGGGUGUUCUUUGGGGUUUUUUGGGCUUGGAUUUUGUUAAGCUUCUUAAAUCUGCUUAUAGUUUUCAUCAGGCUCUGAAGCUUUCUGCCAUUAAUCUUCAAUUAUUUUUUUAAUCCUCUCCCUUUCUUUGGGGACCCCCAAUAAAUGUCCCAUUUAUAUUCUGAUCAUUUUUUCAGCCUUUUUUAAAUCUCCAAGAUUUAUUUUAGAUAGUUUCAGUUGUUCUAUUUCUAUGUUUUCAAGUCUUCCAGUCUUUUCUUUCGCAAUGUUCAAUCUGCCAUUAACCCAUCCAAAGCUAUUUCAUCUUGGAUGUUGUGAUUUUCAUCUCUCUUUUUUUUCCACCUCCUGGUGUUUGCUUGGAGGCUUUGAUACAUCUUCUGUGAAUCUACUGACAUGUUCAAUCUUUCCUCUGGUUUCUUGAACAUAUUCAGUGCAUUUACAAUAAUUGUUUAAAUGUCCUUGUCUACUAAUUCUGUCAUCAGUGUCACUUCUGGGUCUCUUUGAUUGACUGAUUUUUUUCAUUAUGGGCCUUAUGGAAUCACUUCUUUGUGUUUCUGGUAAGUUUUGAUUAGACAUGUAAGACACUGUUGAUUUUUAUCUUUGGGGUGCUAGAUGUUUUUGCCUUCCUAUGAGUUUUCCUGAGAUUUGUUCUGCAAUAUAGUUAACUGUUCCUUGGAAAUCAUUUGGUCUUUCCAGGGUUGACUCAAUCCUUCCAGCUUUCUGAGGUGGGCCAGCACAGAGUUCCAUCUCUAGGACUGGUACUUAACCUCCUAGGAGCACUCUGCCCAAGCCCUGGGGAUCAGGUUGCUGUUCUGGUUGGUGGAAGGAGAAGCCUUUCCGAGCCCUGUGGGCACUCUGAAGCUUGCCCCUCCAACCCUUUGGAUCCUUGAUUCUGUCUCCAUUCUGAGGCUGUGGAAGAAUCAGGUGGGCAGUCCCUCCUGCCCACUGGGUGGAAUAGCCAUAGCACUCUGACACUACUCUCAGGGAACUCACAAAAACAUUUAAAUUUAUUUUGUUAUUUGAAGAUAAAAGGCAAAAUAUGUUUUAAUAUCUGAUCAUAUGUGUAUCUUCACGGCAGUGGACUCGGGAAUGUGUGGCUGUGUGGCUGAGGGGCCUGUAGAACUGUAAUGCAGGUGGCCAGGGAGAACAUCAUGGUGAAGACAGCCUCUUUCAGCAGGUGAAGAACCUGAUUUUCCGGAAAUUGAGCCAAGAGUAAAGCCUGAGCCCUGAGUUUGGCUCACAAUGGUGGCAAGAGAAAGAGGAUGAGCGGUGGCCCAAGGGACGAAAGCAGUCAAGAGGCCCUGCCCAGUGGAGUAGAGCGUGGAGCAGGUGUUUGAGGCUGGCACACCCAGGGCAGGUUCGCGAGUCUCUAAGCCCAAGUUUCCUGGCCUCUAAAAGGGAUUCGGGGCUAACUGCCUUGCAGGGGAGCCCCGUGUGGAAGCUUUGCGGGAUGGACACCCCUCUCUCAAGUUUAGAUAUUAGGCAAACGAGAAGGCCCUGAGUAAUGGAAACCAAGGCACAGAGAAGGGGUGGCAUUAGGGUCACAGCAUGAACAAGACUGGGAAAGAGCGUGGGGCUGCCUCAGCCUGCUUUCCCGCAGGAAGAAAUCAAGGCAGCAAGACUUUGAGGCCCUCAAUCACAGGAGACCACAGGUAAGGACCACCUGACACUCACGGCCCAGAGUCGGGGAACUAAAAUCUCCAGACUUCAGCCAUGGGAUCCUGGGAGAGCUUGGGAGAGCUGGGGAGGUGCUGGGGACCUAAACCCGUUCUGCCGUGUGGUACUACAUGUGGGUGAUGGUAAUGGUACAUCCAGGGUGGCUGUCAGUGACAGCAGCUGGGAAGUCCUCAGCCCAGGGUGAUCAGGCACAUGCUAAGUCCGGAAAUGUGCUAAUUUUUAGAGCAAAUUUUACCAGACAUAGACUGACCUGCUCCUCAAUCUCUUUCUCUCCCUUUUUAGGAGACUGGCUGGUUUGGUCCCAUCUGUCUGGGCCUUGAUUAGGAUAACUGUCCUUGCUCCCGGGUUUCAGGACCAUCAGUCUCCGUACCCCAGCCCAGAGGGCGCCUGGAGUGCUGCGGGCUGAGACCAGCCGGACGUCCUUGGGAGGCUCGUUCUUCAUGCUGCGCAGAACCACUAGGCUGGGCAUCGAGGCCUGUGUGAAGGCCCAGGCCCAGGGCCCGCCCUUAGGCCUCCGUCCCAGAUGGAAUUAAUGGAAUUGGAUUGCGUCUUUGUCAUCUUGUGCUCACAGACCCUAGCUGGCUUGCGACAAGAAAGAAUUAGGGCAUAGCUCAAACAGAAAAGUGGAAAAAGAAACGGGCGAAAGCCCACAGGGAGGACUCUCUAUUUCCUUAUCUGUCUGCCGUCCCAAAUAGCUCUGCUCUCCUCCCCCAUUUGUGUUUAUGUGUCACGUUUCUUUCUCUUGCAGCAGAUGCCACUGGGCUGACUGUCCUAAACUGGGUCAGAGAGUGGUGGUGAAUUGACACAGGUCCCUCCGGCGGUAUCUUCCUGUGUCCUCACUCCCCCUCCAGUCCCCCAGCCUGCUUUCCGUGGCAUCUGAGGGUGGUCCCUGUCCCCAGAACCACAGGGACUCAGGGAGUUUCCUGCCACUCCAGGACCUCAGCGCUCGUAGCUGGGAGACAGGAAGGCAUCCUUGACUGUCCUCAACCCUUUUGCUUCUCCAGGGUCCCUAGCUUCUCGUUUCAUCUCACUAAGCACUGAUAAAUGAUUUCAGAGAACUCCAACCCACUUGCCACAGCAGCCAGGUAACCACACUGCCUUCUGGACAGCGCCCUGCCUGCCCUGGGGCCUGUUUCCCACAGCCAGGCUGCCCCUGGUGUAGUGUGGCAGCAAUGCCGCACUGGGUGGAGAAUCAAAUCAGCCAUGUUUCAAACUCCAUGGAACAGAGACCAAAGAAAUCAGUGGAUUGCCCAACGUAACGCAGUAAAGGGCAGAGUCCAGGGUCACACUCCCACUGACCAUUCCUACUCCAGUGCACACUGUAGUCUACCUUUUGCUGCUUCAUUUAAAGCAUGCACUACUGAGAGUCUAGCUCUUUUCUUGAUGUCCUCUGUUAAGAAUCUAGGUCCAGGGCUGGGAUUGUAGCUCAGCGGUAGAGUGCUUGCCUUGCAAGCAUGAGGUACUGGGUUCGAUCCUUGGCACCACAUAAAAAAAUAAACAAAAAUAAAGAUAUUGUGUCCAUCUAUAACUAAAAAAAAAAAGAAUCUAGAUCCAAACUUUUCCUUGAGAUGCCCUUCAAAAGAAUAGAUAUGGCAUGCGGGUGACCAGUGUUUGAGAGGGGAAAUUAUGUUACACAAAAGAUUACCAUCAGGAAUAUUGAAGCAAAAAUUCUGAUAGGUCCCAUGGACUUAGGGGUCAGAGGCUUUGCCUUUCCAAUCGGAGUUUAAAGAUAAUUGCUUGGUCUUCACCUCUGCAUAGAUGCCAUGUUGGCAGACCAGUGUUCCACUGUGCAAGUGAAAGGCUGGGUAGAUACUCUAAAAUGACAGCACAGGACAUCUGGGGUAACAAUGAGGACUCGAUGAAUCGACAUUUCAAAGAAUCGGCACAGUUAGGUAACUGACAUUACCAACAGGAUUUGUUGUUGUUCUUCCUCUCUCCUGGGGGACAUCCAAUUGGCUGAUCCCCAAGCUGAAAAUCAGACAUGGUCCAGACACGUGAACACUAACCACAGGGGCAGAGAGAAACCAGGAAUGCUUUUAGCAGUUGUGUGGGUCUGGAGGAGACCCUGGGAAUUUGAGAGGCUCCAAAUGUAGAUCCUGGAAAGCUAGGCUGAUAUCUUCGGAAAAUCAGAGGAAAAUAUCUGUUUCCAUGCCUACAGAAUGAAGACCAUCCAUGGGAGGGACCUGCCUCAAAAUCACCAGUCCCCUCCUUCUCCAGACAGGUACCAGGCUGAAGCUGCCCAGGGUGGUAGGUGGAAGGUCCAGGCUGGCAUUCCCACACCUCCUGCACCAUCCAAGGCAGGGGUAUCUGAGACCUGUCAGGGAAGUCCAAAAGGGCUAUGCCCAAAAAUUAAGUAUUAGAGAGACAUAGACUGAAAAAACAGUUAUUUAAAAACCUAGCCAAAUGUCUGAUUGCAUUGAGAUAACCAGUUCUUCAAUUUAUCUGCCCCACAGAGGACAGAGGGAUCCUCAAUGGAAGAAGACAAUAGCAUGUAGAUCCUUUGUUAUUUUUCUUUUUCUAAAUAAGCAAUGCCAAAUACUUACUUAAAUUUAAUUCAAGUUAAAAUGUUAAAAAUUGCUAACCAUACAAUGAAACAAGAAAAGAUACCCCCACGGUCUAGACAUUAACAUUGCCAGUAUGGAUUAAAAAAGAAAGCCAAACAUAUAUUAUUUAUAUAUUUUAAAAAUAAGACCACAGAAAGGUUGAAAGUAAAAAUAAUAGGAAAGAAAUGAUGUGAACAAUAACCAAAAGAAAACUGGUGACACUUUAUUAAUUUCAAAGUACACUUUAAUUCGUGAAGACAGAAUCACACAAGGCUUUGAAUAACAUAAUAUGUCACAUAAAAUCGAGGCAAAGACGAUAGAAUGAAUGAAGAUUCACAACUUAAAUAAAGAAUUUUAAAUGACAAAGUUCAAUGGACUUUGUAAAACUGAGAAAAUAUAAUACCUUGAAUUAUCCAAAUGGAUAGUCUCUCUCUCUUUUUAGUUGCUUUUAUUUUUUAAAUACAUGACAACGGAAUGCAUCACAAUUCUUAUUACACAUAUAGAACACAAUUUUUCAUAUCUCUGUUUGUAUAUAAAGUAUGUUCACACCAAUUCAUGUCUUCAUAUAUGUACUUUGGAUAAUGAUGUCCAUCACAUUCCUUCAUCAUUGCUAACCCCCUGCCUUCUCCCUUCCCUUCCCACCUCUGCCCUAUCUAGAGUUGAGUUUGUCAAUUCCUCCCAUGCUCCCUCUCUCUACCCCACUAUGAGUCAGUCACCUUACAUCAGAGAAAACAUUCGCCAUUUGUUUUGGGGGGAUUGGCUGACUUCACUUAGCAUUAUCUUCUCCAACUGCAUCCACCAAAUGGGUAGUCUCAACAACAGAAUAGAUGCAGCAGACAGAAUCAUUUUAACUGGGAGACAGAUCAAUUUCUAGGAAACUAAGAAGAAACAUGACGAGUACAGGAGAUACGUGGGACACAUUCCUAAUGUCUUUCAUAUAUAAUUACAAUUUCAGAAAGAGAACAAGACAAAAUCAACAUUCAAAAACUAUUGAAUGAGCAUUUUUUAAAACUUAUGAACAUCAAUUCCUAUAUUAAAAAAUCUCAAAACCUCAAGCAAUAGAGACACAAAGAAAACUCCAACUAGGCAUGUCAUAAUAAAACUGAUGAAAACCAAAGACAGAACAAUUCUUAAGAGCAUCCAGAAAAGGGGGGGGGGCACAUUACCUUCAAGGGACAGCAAUAAAGAUGACAGCCGACUUCCUAGCAGACAUGAUGAAAGCUAGAAGAUAAUGUAAUGACACCUUUAAAACGAUGAAAGAAAAAAUGAGACAACCUAGAAAUCUAGCCCAGCAAGAUAUCCUUCAAAAUGAUGUUGAAAUAACCAUGUUAAGAAGUAAAUGAAAAUGGAGGGGAUUUGUUGCCAUAGGCCCACAUUAAGAGAAUAACGGAGGGGAAUUCUGGCAGAAGAAAGAUGAUCUUGGAUGGAAAUAUAACCUGGAGACUGGAGAGAGAGAGAGAGAAUAGAGAAGGUGUGGGGGUAAAUACAGAUGAGUAUUUAUUGUACAGAGCAGGAACUAUAAUGUCUUGUGGGAUUUAAAGAUAACAGAACUAAAAUGCAUAAGCAUAAACACAAAGGGCAGGGGUUGGUAAAUAGAAUUGAGAUUCUAACUUCCGCCAGUGUUGAGCACGUGAUAAGGUGAUGCCUGUCAUUAGACUUAAAUACAUCAAUGAUGCUUAUUUUAGUCACUGAAAAAUAUAAAGUAUAAUUUAAGAGAUGGAAAAUAUGGGUAAAUAAACAUUAUUCUAGCAUUCUAAAAGAAAGAAAGAACAGAAAGAAAAAAAAAACAAAACAUAUGUGGGACAGGUAGAAAAUCAGUACUUGUGGCUGAGAAUUUAGCUCAGUGGUAGAGGACUUGCCAAGCAUGCACAAGACCCUGGGUUCAAUCCCCAGCAUGGGAGGAGUGGGCGGAAUAGGAAAAAGAAAAUCAAUAGUAAACUUAUAUAGAGACCACAUUACAUCCAUCAUUACUGAUACACUGAUGAUAUAAUUAGUACAGGACUAACAGACUGGAUAAAAAAGAUUGUGACCAGAGUCACAAUUAAAAUGAAGGCAUGUACUGCUUAAUAAUUUCAGGGAUAGAUAUGUUCUGAGAAAUGCAUCUGUGAACAUCAUGGUGUGUACUUACACAAAACUAGAUGGUGUAGUCUGCCAUGUACCCAGGCUAUUGGGAGUGUGGGCAUGCACAUGUGUGCCUGUGGAGCUCAGAGGUAGAGGAAUUUCCUGGCACAUGAAGCAUUCUGUUCUGUGUGUGAUUGUGCUGUGCUUUUAUAUGGCUGGCAGUGCAGUGGGUUGUCUAUAUCAGCAUCACCACAGCCACAUGAGUAACACAUUGCACUGUGGUGCUGUGAUAGUCAUGAGGUCAGGAGUGACAGGGAUCUCCCAGCUCCGCUAUGGUCUUAUGGACCUGUGUGUGUGGUCCAUCCCUGACCAGAGCAUUGUCAUGCAGUGCAUGAUGUACAGGAACACUCAAGAGGCUGACAGUAAGGGAUUAAAACACACACACCACAUAAGCACUCACUGAAAAAGCUGGGUUAUCGUCUAUACUAAUAUUAGACUAAGAAUCCUUCAAGCCAAGGAGCAUUAUUAGAAAGAAAGAGGUUCAUUUCAUGAAAAUAAAGGGGCUAUGUGACAGGUUGAUAUCAUAGUACUAAAUCUGUAUGCUCUAAAUAACAUAGCUUCCAAAUAUAUAAAGCAAAAACAUUAAAAAUCAAAGGAUAGAUAAUUCCACAAUCAUAAGAAAGAGGCAGUAAUCCACAUUUCUCAAUAACUGAUAGAAAAAUAACAUUUAAAGGAUCAAUAGAUAUGUAUAUCUGAACAACCCAGUUAUAACAAACACUGUAUUUGAUACCCAACAAAGAUAUGGAAAACUUAUCAAAAUCAACCAUUGCCUGGGCCAUUAAGAAAGCAUUAGUAAAUAAGUGAUUGACAUCAUUCAGAGUAAUUUAUCUGGCUGUAAUAGUAUUAAGAUAGAAAUUAAUAAUAAAAUGAUAACUAGAAAAACAACCCUCCUGUCUAGAAAUUAAACAGUGCAGUUCUACAUAACUCAAAGGUCGAAGAUAAAGAUAGAAGCUUGAUAAUAUAUUUUUAUUAACACACAUCAAAACUUGUAGGAUGGAGGUCCACAUUUUGGAAUAAGUUUUCAUAGCAAAAAUAAAAAAGGCAAAUAUAAGAAAAGUAGAAAAAAGAAAAUAAUUAUAGAAACCAGUUAUCUUUAAAAUGCAAAAUGAGGUCAGGAGUGACAAGGAUCAAAUGGUUUUUUAAGAAAAAAAUUAUUAUUUACUUUAUGAAAUAUCAAUUACAAUAUUUAUGAUCAAAAGAAAGAAAAAGAAAUAAUAACAGGAAUACAAAGAUUAGAGAGCUAUAAAUCUUACAGACAUCAAAACAUAAGAGAAUUUAUGACUAUAUUUUUUACAAUAAACUUAAUGAGUUGGAAGAAUGCACCAAAUGCCUCAAAAAAUACAACUUACCAAAUCCAAAAGAAGAAAAAAUAGAAACCCUAAUUGUCUUUUUGUGAUUAAAAAAAAAUUUGAGUAUAAGGCUGGAAUACAGCUCAAUUGGUAGAGUGCUUGCCUUGCAUGGACAAGGCCCUGGGUUCAAUCCCCAGCACCAUUAAAACAAAACAAAACAAAAAUACAAGUAUGAAUUAAGACCUUUCCCUCAAAACAAUCCCUAGACCCAAGUGGUGAAUUCUUCCAAAGACCUCAGGUAGUAAACUGCGCAAACUCUUCCAGGAGAGGUGGAGACACUUCUCUAGUCUUUGUAUGAAGCCAGCAGAGCCUUGAUUACAAACUAUGAUAAGGAUAUUAUAAGAAUGAACAAGGACAGGUCAAUCUGCCUCAUGAUCACAUAUAGAGAGAGACGUAUGAAAAGAGAUUUUUGAAUAAUUGGCUCACAUGAUUCUGGAAGCUGAGAAGUACCAUAAUCUUCCAUUUGCAACCUGCAGUCUUGGAAUUCCAUGCAAGUCCAGAGGCCUGAGAACAGGGAACCAGUGGUACAUUCCCAGCCCAGGGCAGGAGAGGAUCACCAUCAGCUCAAGCAGGCAGCCAGGGAGGGGCUGAGUCCUCAUUUCCUCCCCUUUGUAUUCUAUUCAGGGCCUGGCAGGUGGAGGAUGCCCUCCCACACUGGGCAGAGAAACCUGGGUUAGUUAGUCUGCUGAUUUAAAUGCUAAUCCUACCCAGAAACAUCCUCCCAGACACACCCACAAAUGUUUAAUCAGGGUAUCCUGUGGUCUAGUCAAGCUGACACUUAAAAUUAGCCAUCAAUCACUGAUGGUUUAAAAAUAAGAAAUUAGUAGUUAUACCAAUAAUGUUUUCACAGCAUUUAUAGGAAAAGAGAGAAUCAUAAUGAUCUCAAUAAAUGAAAAAUAAAAAGCACUCCUGUUCCAAAUCUCCCAAGGAAACAUCAUACUCAAUGGUCAGAUUUUGCAAACUUUUCUCAAAAGAUGAGGGAAAGGCAAAUUCUGUGUAUUUUUCUCUUUUUCUGUCCAGCAUUGCACUGGAGGCCUGGCCAGUGCAAUCAGGCAAGAAAAGAAAUCCAUAGCAUAAAGACUGGAAAAGAAGAGCUAAAACUGUCACUUUCAAGGAACAACGUGAUUCUAUAACUGGAAAAUCUGAAAGAAUCUAAAUACAAAUGGUUUGAAUUAGUGAGUUCCGUAAGCUCAUGACAUAGUUUCCUAUACACACACCAGAAGUCAGUAUGUCAGUAUGUGUGUGCACAUGAGAUGCUAAUGAGAGAAAAUUAGAAGUUCAACCUAUCUGAAAAGGGACCCCUGAUAAGCAGUGAGGGCAGACUCACUAUGCCAGGCAAGGCCAUCGGUGUUCAAAAGGUCCUGGCCUUUACCUCCCCAGUGGGCUCAGAAGUCAGUUCCAUGCUGAUUUCAAAUUUACUGUGAAAAGUAAGAAGCUAAUAAAUAUUUUGGAGUAAAAUAUAGUAUUUUCAUGACCCUUGGAUUUGGUGGAGAUUUCUGGUGGUGUCUGGGACAACAGUUUAUAAAAAUUCCUGUAGCCACAUGUAAAAAUUUCAAGUCACCAUGGGGAGGAGUUUUGCUGGGUAUGACCUUGGUGUGUGUGUGUGUGUGUGUGUGUAUGUCUUUCUUUUGUAUCAAAAUUUUUCCAGAGUGAAUUGUCAGUGCAAGUAAUGAGGCCUUAGAAACUGGGAUAAACCCAGCCGUCCAGAAAUGCCAAGAAGCCUUGCAAUGAACUUCGGAGGGUCCUGUGUGUUCCUACAGACUUCCUAAAACCUUACUGUUUUCAUCUCAUAAACACACUGAUGGGGGCUGUGGCUGUGGCUCAGCAGUAGAGAGCUCUCCCAGCAUGUGUGAGGCCCUGGGUUUGAUCCUCAGCACCACAUAAAAAAAUAAAUAAAUAAAAUAAAGGUAUUGUGUCCACCUGCAACUAAAAUAAAUAAAUAAAUA
rnacentral:lncRNA from 1 species